GUGCCAGCAGCCGCGGUAAUACCGGCAGCUCGAGUGAUGGCCAAUCUUAUUGGGCCUAAAGCGUCCGUAGCUUGCCGAGCAAGUUUGUCGGGAAAUCCAGUGGCUUAACCACUGGGCGUCCGGCGAAAACUGUUCGGCUUGGGACCGGAAGACUCGAAGAGUACGUCUGGGGUAGGAGUGAAAUCCCGUAAUCCUGGACGGACUACCGAUGGCGAAAGCACUUCGAGAGUACGGAUCCGACAGUGAGGGACGAAAGCUGGGGUCUCGAACCGGAUUAGAUACCCGAGUAGUCC
rnacentral:rRNA from 1 species